CUCGGACAUGCUGGACGAGCGGGAGUGACCUGUGCUGUAGCCUGAGGAAGACACGGAGCUCCACGUGAACGCACAGCCGAAAGGGUUACCGUGAAAACUUUGGGGUCUUUCAUCCCUUUGUUUAUAAAUACUAAGCAAAUUCAUAAAAAAA